rnacentral:rRNA from 1 species
UGGGGAAUUUUGGACAAUGGGCGCAAGCCUGAUCCAGCCAUGCCGCGUGAGUGAAGAAGGCCUUCGGGUUGUAAAGCUCUUUCGGCGGGGAAGAAAUGGCGCUUGUUAAUACCGAGCGUUGAUGACGGUACCCGCAUAAGAAGCACCGGCUAACUACGUGCCAGCAGCCGCGGUAAUACGUAGGGUGCGAGCGUUCAUCGGAAUUCCUGGGCGUAAAUCGUGCGCAGGCGGUUGUGUAAGUCAGAUGUGAAAUCCCCGGGCUCAACCUGGGAACUGCAUUUGAGACUGCAAGGCGAGAGUGUAGCAGAGGGGAGUAGAAUUCCACGUGUAGCAGUGAAAUGCGUAGAGAUGUGGAGGAAUACCGAGGGCGAAGGCAGCCCCCUGGGUUACUACUGACGCUCAUGCACGAAAGCGUGGGGAGCAAACA